AACGUAGGACGCAAGCGUUAUCCGGAAUUACUGGGCGUAAAGCGUGCGCAGGCGGUUUUGUAAGCCAGAUGUGAAAUCCCCGAGCUUAACUUGGGAACUGCAUUUGGGACUGCAAGGCUAGAGUACGGCAGAGGGGGGUAGAAUUCCUGGUGUAGCAGUGAAAUGCGUAGAUAUCAGGAGGAAUACCGAUGGCGAAGGCAGCCCCCUGGGUCGAUACUGACGCUCAUGCACGAAAGCGUGGGGAGCAAACAGG
rnacentral:rRNA from 1 species